GAUGAACGCUGGCGGCGUGCCUAAUACAUGCCAGUCGAGCGAACGGACGAGAAGCUUGCUUCUCUGAUGUUAGCGGCGGACGGGUGAGUAACACGUGGAUAACCUACCUAUAAGACUGGGAUAACUUCGGGAAACCGGAGCUAAUACCGGAUGAUAUUUUGAACCGCAUGGUUCAAAAGUGAAAGACGGUCUUGCUGUCACUUAUAGAUGGAUCCGCGCUGCAUUAGCUAGUUGGUAAGGUAACGGCUUACUAAGGCAACGAUGCGUAGCCGACCUGAGAGGGUGAUCGGCCACACUGGAACUGCGACACGGUCCAGACUCCUACGGGAGGCAGCAGUAGGGAAUCUUCCGCAAUGGGCGAAAGCAUGACGGAGCAACGCCGCGUGAGUGAUGAAGGUCUUCGGAUCGUAAAACUCUGUUAUUAGGGAAGAACAUAUGUGUAAGUACCUGUGCACAUCUUGACGGUACCUAAUCAGAAAGCCACGGCUAACUACGUG
rnacentral:rRNA from 1 species